rnacentral:piRNA from 1 species
UACCACUUAAUCAAAGAACCUUCCUCAGA